GGCGGACGGGUUAGUAACGCGUGGGAACGUACCCUUCUCUACGGAAUAGCCAUUGGAAACGAUGAGUAAUACCGCAUACGCCCUACGGGGGAAAGAUUUAUCGCCGAAAGAGAAGCCCGCGUCGGAUUAGCUUGUUGGUAGGGUAAUGGCCUACCAAGGCGACGAUCCGUAGCUGGUCUGAGAGGAUGACCAGCCACACUGGUACUGAGACACGGACCAGACUCC
rnacentral:rRNA from 1 species